GUGAAGUUUUAUUGUAUUUCCGGUCCCCAAGAUUUAUACCCGGGAGGGGGAGCGGGCGGCUCCGCAGACUCCUGAACCCCCUCGGACUUCCCCGUCUGACACGUGGCCGCUGGGACCCCGGCCUCCCGGACGAGGCCGGGAGGGAGCCGGGCCGGGCGGGACAGGACCGCUGGCUCCGCGCCUGCCGCCCCUUCCGACGGCCGCUCCCGCCGCCGCCGCCGCCAAGCCUCUCAGGAACCUGCCCAGCCACUCAGAGCCUGUCUUCCAUCCCUUGGUGUCUCUUGGCCACCCCCUUCCAGGAACAGUGCUGUAAAAAGAAAAAAGGGGGAUGUUAGAGAGAAAGGAGGAAAUAAAGUCUUUGGAAAGCAGAGAGUUUUACAACAGCCACAGGUUUUAUGGAAGCAAUUCCGUAAUAACCUUCUACCUGCUCAACUCCUUUCCGCCCCGCCUGCCACCAACCCCGUUUG
ensembl:lncRNA